rnacentral:lncRNA from 1 species
UUUUAAAUUGAGUUUUGCUAUUAGUGUUAGGUUUUCUUUAUAGCCAAGAAUAAUCAGAAUUCACUGCUUCUUAAAAAAACUAUUUUUUAAGCCUUUUCAAAUUUUUUUUAGAAAAAAAUUAAGUGUAGUUGAUGUACAAUAUUAUAUAGGUUAUAGGUAUACAGUAUAGUGAUUCACAAUUUUUAAAGGUUAUACCCAGCUGAUAGUUAUUAUAAAAUAUUGGCUUCACUCCCCAUGUUGUAUGCCAUGUCCCGGGGGCUUAUUUUAUACCCAACAGCUUGUAUCUGUUAAUCCCUUGGCUCCAUAUUGCCCCUCCCCUUCCCUCUCCUCACUGGUACCCACUAGUUUGUUCCCUGUAUCUGAGUUUGCUUCUUUUUUGUUAAUAUUCACUAGUUAAGUCAGACAGAGAAAGGCAAAUACUGUAUGUUACGACUUAAAUAUGGAAACUGCUUUCUGAUAUACAAAGACUUUAGCUGUACAAUGGUCUGAUUCUCGUGACUUUUAAAUAGGAGACCCUCUGCGUGUUUCUAAAAUCUUCUAUGAUAAAUAUUUUAUGUAAACUGUUUUCUUCCCAAAGGAAUGUGUAACUUUUCUGGCUUAAAUUGACUUAAUACUGAAUUUAUAUCCAGUUAAAUUCAUUCCUUUUGGUACACAUGCUGGUAAGUUUUGAUAAAUGCCAAGAGUUACAUACUCAUCAUGACGGGGUUCUGUCUUUCCCGUUCUGAUGGGGCUGAGUCUCAGACACCCCACUGUCUACACUUCUGUGCAACCGGGGCUGCCCUCAGGCAAAGUGGUGAGAGAUGGGAGACAAGGGAGAAACCACAAGGCAUGACCUCCCCAUUACUCUUAGAACCCGGGGUGGCGGAAGGGUCAGUUUUUCUGAUUCAUCUGGCCAGAUACCAAUUUCUCUCAAGGUUUUAGUCCUCUGGCCAAAAAGAAGGGGUUUUUCUCUUGUAAAAAGUUCAGGUUCCAGCCAGGGGGGCAACAGGAAAAACCAGGAAUCUCACCACUGUACCAGUAGUUCAAGUUCUGACUCCCUCCCAUUUUUAUACUGUUUACUUUUCAGAAGCCUCUGGCAGUGGCCCUUGGGGAGUCUGUUCAGAAUGUCUAGUUGUAACCACCAGGAGAAAUAAGCUUGGUGGGGCUACUC